UGAUCUAGCUUGCUAGAUUGAUGGCGAGUAGCGGACGGGUGAGUAACGCGUAGGAAUCUGCCUCGAGGGGGGGGACAACUUGUGGAAACGCAAGCUAAUACCGCAUAAUACCUGAGGGUUAAAGCUAGCUUCGGCUGGCGCCAAGAGAUGAGCCUGCGUCCGAUUAGCUAGUUGGUAGGGUAAAGGCCUACCAAGGCGACGAUCGGUAGCUGUUCUGAGAGGAAGAUCACCCACACUGGGACUGAGACACGGCCCACACUCCUACGGGAGGCAGCAGUGGGGAAUAUUGGACAAUGGGGGCAACCCUGAUCCAGCAAUGCCACGUGUGUGAAGAAGGCCUUAGGGUUGUAAAGCACUUUCAUUAGUGAGGAAGGUAUUUAGGUUAAGAGCUAAGAUACUUGACGUUAGCUAAGGAAGAAGCACCGGCUAACUCUGUGCCAGCACCCGCGGUAAUACAGAGGGUGCAAGCGUUAAUCGGAAUUACUGGGCGUAAAGGGUCCGUA
rnacentral:rRNA from 1 species